UACGUAGGGGCUAGCGUUGUCCGGAAUCAUUGGGCGUAAAGAGCGUGUAGGCGGCCCGGUAAGUCCGCUGUAAAGUCAAAGGCUCAACCUUUGAAUGUCAGUGGAUACUGCCGGGCUAGAGUCCGGAAGAGGCGAGUGGAACUCCUGGUGUAGCGGUGGAAUGCGCAGAUAUCAGGAAGAACACCAACGGCGAAGGCAGCUCGCUAGGACGGUACUGACGCUGAGACGCGAAGCGUGGGAGCGAACAGG
rnacentral:rRNA from 1 species